rnacentral:rRNA from 1 species
AUUGAACGCUGGCGGCAGGCCUAACACAUGCAAGUCGAACGAGCGGCGGACGGGUGCGUAAUGUAUAGGGAAUGCGCGAUAGAGGGGCAUAACCGCUGGAAACGGUAGGUAAUCCCGCAUCCAAUCGGAUACCCGAUAUGGGAUUAGCUAGUAGGUGAGGUAAUGGCUCACCUAGGCGACGAUCCCUAGCUGGUCUGAGAGGAUGAUCAGCCACACUGGGACUGAGACACGGCCCAGACUCCUACGGAGGCAGCAGUGGGGAAUAUUGCACAAUGGGCGCAAGCCUGAUGCAGCCAUGCCGCGUGUAUGAAGAAGGCCCUAGGGUUGUAAAGUACUUUCAGUCGGGAGGCGUUACCGACAGAAGAAACACCGGCUAACUCCGUGCCAGCAGCCGCGGUAAUAC